UGGCCAGUGACUUUGCUAUUGCCCAGUUUCAGUUUUUGGAGAGACUUUUGGUUGUCCAUGGACAUUGGUGCUAUAAAAGGAUUGCUCAGAUGAUUUGCUACUUCUACAAAAAUAUAGCAUUUGGUCUGGUACAUGCUACUUUGAGGCAUUCACCGGAUAUUCAGGGCUGAUGCUGCUGCUUCCAAGAAUACUUCAACCAUGACAAAGUCCUCUUCAUCAUCUCAACCCAAUCGUGGAUCACAGAUCUCUAAAGAGCUGGUCAAGGCACAUCAAUACCGAGCUAUUUAUUUGACUUUUCACUUCAUUCAUUUGCUUGUGUUUAGGGCAUGCACUAGAAUGCUUUUCUUGUGUAAAAUGUUGGUUUCAAUGAUUGGGAAAUGCACCCCUUUUGCUUUUGAAGUUUAAAGUAUUGGUUAUAUGAAUCAUUUGAUGGUUUGGAAUGUUUGUAUUUGAUAGAGUACUGUUCAUUUGGUAAAUGGACCAAAUGAAUGCACAAUCUAA